rnacentral:rRNA from 1 species
UGGGUCCGCGUCUCAUUAGCUGGUUGGUGGGGUAAUGGCCUACCAAGGCGACGAUGAGUAGCUGGUCUGAGAGGAUGAUCAGCCACACUGGGACUGGAACACGGCCCAGACUCCUACGGGAGGCAGCAGUGGGGAAUAUUGGGCAAUGGGCGCAAGCCUGACCCAGCAACGCCGUGUGAGGGAAGAAGGUUUUCGGAUCGUAAACCUCUGUCAGAAGGGAAGAAGUGGCAGUUAUUUAAUAUAUAACUGCUUUGACGGUACCUUCAGAGGAAGCACCGGCUAACUCCGUGCCAGCAGCCGCGGUAAUACGGAGGGUGCAAGCGUUAUUCGGAAUCACUGGGCGUAAAGCGCGCGUAGGUUGCGUGGUAAGUCAGAUGUGAAAGCCCCCGGCUCAACCGGGGAACUGCAUUUGAAACUGCCAUGCUUGAGUACGACAGAGGGUGGCGGAAUUCCCGGUGUAGGAGUGAAAUCCGUAGAUAUCGGGAGGAACACCAGUGGCGAAGGCGGCCACCUGGGUCGAUACUGACGCUGAGGUGCGAAAGCGUGGGUAGCAAACAGGAUUAGAUACCCUGGUAGUCCACGCCGUAAACGAUGGACGCUAGAUGUCGGG